rnacentral:rRNA from 1 species
UACGAAGGGAGCUAGCGUUGUUCGGAAUCACUGGGCGUAAAGCGCACGUAGGCGGAUGUGUCAGUCAGGGGUGAAAUCCCGGAGCUCAACUUCGGAACUGCCCUUGAUACAGCACGUCUUGAGUCCGAUAGAGGUGGGUGGAAUUCCUAGUGUAGAGGUGAAAUUCGUAGAUAUUCGGAAGAACACCAGUGGCGAAGGCGGCUCACUGGCCCGUUACCGACGCUCAGGCGCGACAGCGUGGGGAGCAAACAGG